AUUAUUUAUUUGUUUUGAGUAAAUUAUAUUUGCUUUUCUCUAACUGUUAUACUAAGAUAAUUUCUAAUUUCUCUUGUUUAUCACUGUAAAAAUCUACUUGGUUAUUUCUGAAAUAUGAGUUUUGUCCAGUAUUAGUUAUUUAUAGCUCUAACUCACUGAUACAUCACUAUUCAAACUAGUCUACAGCAAAAUCAAUCAAACACUGAAUAAACUUAAUUACAAUACUACUAAACUUUUUAGCUUGAAUGAAAAUUCUAUUUUCUCAUCCUCUUCUUUAUAAUAAUAAAAGAUUACAAUUAAUUUAUUAAAUAUUAUAUUAAACAUUUUCAAGUUCAAAUAUGGCAGAAGAACAUCAGUAAUUUUCUUUUUAAAGAUUGGGUUGGGCUUCCUAACUUCGAUUUUAUGAGAGCCGACGUGUUCGAACCUAAGAAUCUCGAAAUCUACGUGUCACCCAUUCAACUCAACGACCUCCUUCUUCAACCUCUUAAAACCCUGUAACUCAAUAAAAAAUCUAGACCACACCAAAACGGCAUAAAAAUGCACCGUUUCAAGUCUGUCCUCCACUACAGCUACCACCAUCAUGCACUCGACAAAACUACUAGCACCUCCCUCCUAAAUUCCCGGUCCGUGAUCCGGUUCAGCGGUCCAGACACAGUCAAAUUCCUUCAAGGUCUAUUAACAAAUGAUAUACGGAGAUUCGAUGAAACACCAAGUGAAGCAACAUCUUUUCUGCCUACACCCAAUUUAGCUACUGUAUCUGUGCCGCCUAUGUACGCGGCGCUUUUGACUCCUCAAGGGAGGUUUUUGUAUGAUUUGUUUCUGUAUAGACCAACACGUGCCGGCGAGAAGCUUAAUAAAUCAGGCUCGGGACCCGGGUCGGACUCUAAUGGAUCGGUUGAGCUGUUGGCUGAUGUGGAUACUUCUGUUCUUGAUGAGCUAUUGCACACUUUUCAAAGAUAUCGUUUAAGGUCAAAGGUUGAAAUUGAGAAUGUGGCAGGAGAGUUCUCUUGCUGGCAGCGCUUUGGCGGGAACCUUACUGAAACGUCCAAAGUUGCAGAUGAACCAGAGGCAGCUAGUGUUGGCUGGGGUUCUGGUGUUGAUCGUGCUGCUAGGUCAUCUACUCAAGGGGAUGGUCAUGGAUGGCAAUGGUUUAAAGAUCCUAGAUUGGAUUGUCUUGGCUUCCGGGGAAUCUUUCCAUCUAAUCAGACACCACCUUUGGUUGAGGCUGACAAAGAAACAAAUGAAAAAAAUUACCAGUUGUGGAGAAUAGAGAACGGAGUUGCUGAAGGUUCAACUGAGAUUCCAAAAGGUGAAGCAAUUCCACUUGAAUACAAUCUUGCUGGUUUAAAUGCAAUAAGCUUUGACAAGGGUUGCUAUGUGGGGCAAGAGCUUGUUGCUCGGACACACCAUAGGGGGGUCAUUCGCAAACGUCUGCUUCCUUUAAUGUUUUUAGAUGAUAAUGGAACAGAGGUGGAGGAAAAAGUUGCUCCUGGCUCAGAAGUGAUAGACACUACAUCCAGCAAGAAGGUUGGUUUUGUGACGGCUGCACUUGGUUGUCGGGGGCUAGGUGUUCUGCGAUUGGAGGAAGCAUGGAAAGGGUCGGGGUCCUUGAUCAUAGAGGGCCAGGAUGAUCUGAAGGUCGAGACUAUUAGACCAAAAUGGUGGCCAGCUGAAUGGUUUCCAGAGCAUCAACAGCAUAGCGCAGUUGCUUAGGAAAUGUUACUUUAGACGGCAAGGGUUUCCUGCUGCUUAACUUGAUCAACCCUGCACAUUCUUGGCCUCUUCACCGGCGGUGCAGGAACCAGGGACUGCAAUAUGUUGAUAAGGAUACUGGAUAACGUGUAGUCAUACAAAAUUGGGAGGGAAUUCAUCAAGGAUCACUGAUGUUAUAGACCUGUAAAGAACAAGCAGUUGCACAAUGAAUGCUGUUAUCUAUGCAGACUGGUUAAUGCCAAUGUAACUACCAGGCAAGUCUCUCCAGUAGGUUUGAGUUGCAUUUUGCUUUCUCCAAGCUGUCAUGUGAAUAUUGUUGCUGUUGUAACUAAUUUGUGUUCUGCUCUACGGUGUGAAAUGCUUUUGGUUGGAGAAGAAUUGCCGUAAAUGCAUGAUUAGUUUUAUGCUUCUGAUUAGUGGAUUGUGAGAUCAAUCGGGUAGCUGUUGUAAUUAAUGGUCGGCGAAGCCAUUCCAACUUCACUAGUUUAAACUUGCUGGAGGGUGCCUCUUCUCAGUUAUGCUGUUCGCAGUUAUUGCUUCUCUUGCUUCUUGGCUGGUAUUCAAGGUUGGACAUGUGUGUAGGGAGCUCAAAUCUCUAUCUGCAUUCCUGAAUAGUGCAUGUUGUGCGUGUAGUUUGCGUCUCACUGGCAGGUUAGGGCAGGAUUUGGUAGCUACUGUUACAUGUACAUUCGAAUUUAGUUCGUAUUUGCUGCAGUCUUUUGUAAUUUCUGAUAUUUUGGUUUUGUAAGGUCUACUUUUUCUUUUUUCUUUGUAAUUCUUAGAAUGGGAAUUAAAUUGAAGAUUAGUCAAAGUUGAAAAUACAAUUAAAAAAAGAAAAGAAGAGAAAAGAUGCUUUAUCUUUUUA